UACGAAGGGGGCUAGCGUUGCUCGGAAUCACUGGGCGUAAAGCGCACGUAGGCGGAUUGCUAAGUCAGGGGUGAAAUCCUGGAGCUCAACUCCAGAACUGCCUUUGAUACUGGCGACCUUGAGUCCGGGAGAGGUGAGUGGAACUGCGAGUGUAGAGGUGAAAUUCGUAGAUAUUGGGAAGAACACCAGUGGCGAAGGCGGCUAACUGGUCCGGUACUGACGCUGAGGUGCGAAAGCGUGGGGAGGCAAACAGG
rnacentral:rRNA from 1 species